CCCUUAGAUGUUCUGGGCUGCACGCGCGCUACACUGAUACUUUCAGCGAGUCCACCACCUUGCCUGGGAAGGUGGGGUAACCUCUGGAAAGUGCAUCGUGAUGGGGAUCGAUUAUUGUAAUUAUUAAUCUUCAACGAGGAAUUCCUAGUAAGCAUGUGUCAUCAGCCCGUGCUGAUUACGUCCCUGCCCUUUGUACACACCGCCCGUCGCUCCUACCGAUUGAACGGUUUAGUGAGGGCCUCGGAUUGGUCUCGGCCCGCUCUUUACCGGGCGGCGCCGUUGGUCGAGAAGACGCUCGAACUUGAUCGUUUAGAGGAAGUAAAAGUCGUAACA
rnacentral:rRNA from 1 species